CGAUCGAUAUAACCCUGCAUCGAACGCAAGACCUAAUCCGCCCUGCCCGUCCUCUUUGCGCCGCCCCUCCCGUCGCCGCCGCCCCGCAUCCUCACCUUCCUACCCCUCCUCGAGCCUCCUGCAUCGCAUACUCGCACGUCGCCGUCCAGAUCCGUCCAAGAUGGGACGGCGCACCGGUGACACUGGUCUCAGGUGAGGAAGGCGGCAUUGGUGGCCUUCAUCGAGGCCAAGAACUCAUGGGGCUUCCGAUCUCCAUCAGACCUAUCUGUGAUGGAGUACGGUCAGUACAAAUUCGUUUUUUCUGGCUAUUCCAUCUGCGGAUGCGUGCAUAUUAUUAUUGUCACGUAGCUGCAGGCUUUCGAUCUCUGUUUUCCUCUGAUGUUGUGCUGCUAGGCUUGUCCUUGGUGGGGCAAUGCUCUUCGGAGCAGCAAUGCGAAUUUGUUGGAAUAUAUGGAGCAGGUCGCCACUCGACCUCCAUUCCCGGAUGUCAAGACGAGUCUGCAUUUAAGCAACUAGGUGAAUAUCUCUGAACCGUCUGUUGCUUCUUUUUUUUUGAUAGAAGAUAUGCAUUUCAUUGAUCAAAACGUUGGGAAAUUACAAUGUCACUGGGAACCAACAUGUUAAUUACAGGUCUGAAAUCUGAAAAUCAGGUUUCACCAACAAGUAUGAAUGCCAUCGCUGAAGUUUGUAGGCCAUUUUGUUGCCAUUUCUCACUAUCUUCCAAAUCCUUCAAAUUUGCAGGUGCAGGUUCAACUACCUCGUCAGUUCGUAGAUGCUCACUGUAUCUAGUACCACCUCAUUGUCUUAUUCAUAAAUUAAAUACCCAUUGACCAUUGGAGUGACUAGUAGUCUGCUCAAGCAAACUAAAUGUUAGGCUUCUUCCACUUAUGUGGAUCUUUGAAUCACUUAAGUGGCAGCUACGAUCACCAGUCUAGAGUGGUACCUUAAUGUACAAUGAACUGUUUGCAUUUUUUUGUCGUAAAUAAAUCAAUACUUGAAGUAUCCAUAAUUAAGUGAUGGAAAGCUAAGUUUGUUAUGUAUUUACCAGGAUAUGCAGGUUUAUUGUUCUCUGUAUUUAAGUUGGUUGUUCCAUCACCAGUAGGAACAGUUGGAACUCACAAAUUCUCCAUGACACUUGUGGUUAGGUAAAAAAGGUCAAUGAACCAAAAGGUCAUCCAGUCCUAUAGUUGUUGGUUGUUCCCAUAGCUCAUGUUGAACAUGUUCUCCUAAAUUAACAUGCACUUUCUUUCUGUUUGAUGGCUCACACAUAAUAACUCUUAAAAAAUGGUGUGGAUUAGCAAUUUCUUAGCUAACUUAUCGCUUUCUUUGAUUUGCUGUGCAAUCCUCUUCAGUUUGGACAUUAAUGCCGAACAACACCUUCCAUUUUUUCUGUUAUAUCAACAAUAAAUAAUGUUCACUAGCAUGUUUCCAGCAUUCAAAAUGAAAUGUUCCUAACUAAAGGUGUUACUUAUGUGCAUCUUAAUCAGUAACAUAAACUUGGAGGUUUUAUUUUAGUAAAUUGUGUACGUAUUGUUCUCCAUUGUCAUGAGUAUUCCAAGAAAAGCAUGGUUCAUCCUUCUAAUUUAUGAUAUUUCUGCUUUUGAUUGCGUGUUCAAAGUUUCAGUUGUGUAUUUGUGUUGCUUUGACAGGAGAUAUUAUAAUGAUGUGAAGGAUUGUUGGUUCAAUGAGAAUUUUCAGGAGGUGGCAAAAGUUGUGGUUAUAACAACAGUAAUCAAAUGAGAUAUCCAGACUGGACAAUUCUGUGGGAGAGGAAGCUAAUAUAUUCCUUUAAAGUGUGGAAGAUACUGAUAUAUACGAAGUAGAUUUGUUAUGCAAGAUGAUGUAUUUGUAGUACUCUGUUUGAUACGAUUACUAAGAUUGUCAACUUAUGUAAAUUUGUGUUCAAACC